rnacentral:rRNA from 1 species
UACGUAGGGGGCUAGCGUUGUCCGGAUUUACUGGGCGUAAAGGGCGCGUAGGCGGCGGGUCAAGUCGAGUGUGAAAGCCCCGGGCUCAACCUGGGAAUUGCGCUCGAGACUGGUCUGCUUGAGUUCGGGAGAGGAGAGUGGAAUUCCCAGUGUAGAGGUGAAAUUCGUAGAUAUUGGGAAGAACACCGGUGGCGAAGGCGGCUCUCUGGACCGAGACUGACGCUGAGGCGCGAAAGCGUGGGGAGCAAACAGG